rnacentral:pre_miRNA from 1 species
AUGUGUUAAACUUGUAAGAUGGUGACAUUAUGAUGGUUAUGAAUGUAAAAAUGACCUUCUAUAUUGGAUCAAGUUACAACCAAUGUAAAAAGUGAUUUACAUCCAUAACUAUCACAAUGUCAUCAUCUUGCAAGUUUGAUACAUA